UGUGGUCUGUACGUGAAUUGUUCAAUGUGUUUUAGUGUCACAGGUGCGAUCUGUACAGUGGAUAGUUGAGUGUGUUUUAGUGUCACAGGUGUGAGCUGUAUAGCGGAUCAUUGAGUGUGUUUUAGUGUCACAGGUGCAAGCUGUGUAGUGGAUCGUUGUGUGUUUGUGUCACACGUGUGAUCUGUACAGUGGAUUGUUGAGUGUGUUUUAGUGUUACAGGUGUGAUCUGUACAGUGGAUUGUUGAGUGUUUUAGUGUCACAGGUGUGAUCUGUAUGGUGGAUCGUUGAGUGUGUUUUAGUGUCACAGGUGUGAGCUGUAUGGUGGAUCGUUGAGUGUGUUUUAGUGUCACAGGUGUGAGCUGUAUGGUGGAUCGUUGAGUGUGUUUUAGUGUCACAGGUGUGAUCUGUAUGGUGGAUCGUUGAGUGUGUUUUAGUGUCACAGGUGUGAUCUGUAUGGUGGAUCGUUGAGUGUGUUUUAGUGUCACAGGUGUGAUCUGUAUGGUGGAUCGUUGAGUGUGUUUUAGUGUCACAGGUGUGAUCUGUAUGGUGGAUCGUUGAGUGUGUUUUAGUGUCACAGGUGUGAUCUGUAUGGUGGAUCGUUGAGUGUGUUUUAGUGUCACAGGUGUGAUCUGUAUGGUGGAUCGU
rnacentral:lncRNA from 1 species